rnacentral:rRNA from 1 species
AUGGGGGGACCACCCUCCAACCCUAAAUACUACCCAGUGACCGAUAGCGUAUAGUACUGUGAAGGAAAGGUGAAAAGGACCCCGGGAGGGGAGUGAAAGAGAACCUGAAACCUUGUGCCUACAAGCACAUAGAGCCCGUCAAAGGGUGAUAUGGUACUUUUUGUAGAACGGUCCGGCGAGCGAUUGUACGUUGCGAGCUUAAGGUCUUAAGGACUGGAGGCGUAGCGAGAGCGAGUCUAAACAGGGCGUUUAGUAGCGUGCAAUGGGCCCGAAACCGGGUGACCUACCCAUGAUCAGGCUGAAGUGAAAGUAAAAUUUCAUGGAGGGCCGAACCGACCUCCGUUGAAAAGGCGGCGGAUGAAUUGUGGGUAGCGGAGAAAUUCCAAUCGAACUCGGAGAUAGCUGGUUCUCCCCGAAAUAGCUUUAGGGCUAGCCUCAUGUUAGAUAUCCGGAGGUAAAGCACUGAAUGGCCUAGCGUCCGAGAGGAUAGCGAAGCCUAUCAAACUAAGAAUGCCGGAAUAUUGAUGCAUGGGAGUCAGACAGUGUGAGAUAAAUCUCAUUGUCAAAAGGGAAACAGCCCAGAUCUACAGCUAAGGUCCCAAAUUGUAUCUAAGUGGAAAACGAUGUGGAAAUACGCAGACAACCAGGAUGUUGGCUCAGAAGCAGCCACUCAUUUAAAGAGUGCGUAAUAGCUCACUGGUCGAGCGUCUCUGCGCGGAAAAUUUAACGGGGCUAAGAUACAAACCGAAGCUUAGGCUGCAUAUGUAAGUAUGCGGGGUAGGGGAGCGUUGUGUAAGCGGAGAAACAGUAGCGGAAGCGGCUGUGGAGUUUACAGAAGUGAGAAUGCCGGAAUGAGUAGCGCGAAUGAUGUGAGAAUCAUCAUGGCCGGAAACCUCAGGUUUUUGGAGGAAGGUUCGUCCGCUCCAAGUUAGGCGGGAGCUAAGGUGAGGCCGAAAGGCGUAGCCGAUGCACAGACGGUAGAGAUUCCGUCCCCACCGAAAGAUUUAAGCGCAGGGACACUUUUAGAAGGUCGGAGCCAGGUGUUGGUUCUGGUAGAGAUCGAGGGAAAUUUAGUACCGAAGUCCGGCUGGAUAAGAGGCGAGAAAAGCUGCGUGUAUAUCUAAGGUGCCCGUACCGCAAACCGACACAGGUAGGUAGGAAGAAGAUUCUAAGGCCAACGGGAGAAGGGUUGUUAAGGAACUCGGCAAAUUGACCCCGUAACUUCGGGAGAAGGGGUGCUCCAGAGAUGGAGCCGCAGAGAAUCGGCCCAAGCAACUGUUUACCAAAAACACAGGUUUGUGCUAAAUCGAAAGAUGACGUAUACGAGCUGACGCCUGCCCGGUGCUGGAAGGUUAAAAGGAGAUGUGCAAGCAUUGAAUUGAAGCCCCAGUGAACGGCGGCCGUAACUAUAACGGUCCUAAGGUAGCGAAAUUCCUUGUCAGGUAAGUUCUGACCC